CGUCUGAGCGCGGGCGUGUCCGGCGAAGCUAGGAGGGGCCGCUGGGACGGGCUGGGCCGGGCAGGUGGGGAGCCCCUAGGGAGUGGCCCCUCGAGGGCUGCUGCCUUUCAGGGUGGAGUUCUGGGGGGCGGAGGUCAGUUUGUUUAGGAAGGGGGUCCCAUGCGGGCGCGGGUGGAGAGUGUGCGAUGCCGGGGCACGAUGAGGGGUCUCGGGAAGCUGUCCCAGAGGGGCCAGGGUGCCCCGGGAAGCUGUGUGUCACAUGCAGGCACGAGCCAACCCCAGCGAAGAGGAAGGAAGCGUGGCUCCGACCGGGGCGCAGGGGGCUUCGGGGCCGCAGCAGCGGUCAAAGAUGUGGACGUGCGGGCGGGGAUUCAGGCCGAGGAGGAGGAAACCAGUUCAGCCAGGGCAGCCUUGGCGUUGAUCCUGGAAAAGCUGCCUACCCAAGAAGAGAAAGGAGACCAAAGGGGGCUAAGUUGGAGACCUGAGCUUCGUCUGAGAGUCAAACGCGCCCGCGGAAGCCACAGCGAGACAGGAUCUCCCACCUGGUCCAGGGCAGGGCUCCUCAGGGGGACACGGGUUCGAGCCCUGGUCUGGGAGGAUCCCACAUGCCACGG